CACCCAGGUGCCCCAAGAAAUGAAAAUUACUCAUUUAGAGGCAGAUAAUAGAGUGAAGAUGCAAAAAGGGUCUCCCUAGUCGGUGAUCAGGAAAAUGGGCACUAAACCAGCAAGAUGAGCAGAAAUGAGCAGUAUCAGUGGUAGCUCUGUUGGUGAGGGUUUGAUGAUAAGCACAUUCUUCUGCUCUGUUGGUGAGAAUAUAAACUGAUGAAAUCUCGGUUGGAAAGCUUUCUGGCAGCACCCCACCAAAAGUAUAAAUGUGCAUGUCUUUCCAUCGAGCGGUUCUUCUAAGACUCUAUGCUGCAGAAAUAAGAAAGAAAUGGGCGUGAAUAUACAAAGAGUAUUCAUUGCAGCAUUAUUUGCUCUUAGAAAGAGAGAACAAGAAUCCUAAUUGCUUUCAAAGGAAAACGGUUCAAACAGUUGUGUUACACGGGAACCACCAAACUCUCUAAAACCAUUAGAGACAGUGAGAUUCUGGGGAAGCCUGGGUGGCUCAGUCGGUUAAGCGUCCGAUUUUAGCUCAGGUCGUGAUCUCACAGUUCGUGGGUUCAAGCCCCGUGUCAGGCUGUGUGCUGUCAGUGCAGAGCCCGCUCCAGAUUCUCUGUCUCCUUCUCUCUGUCCCUCCCCCACUGUCUUGGGUGUCCACUCUCUGUCUCUCAAAAUUAAAAAUAAAACAUUGGGGCGCCUGGGUGGCUCAGUCGGUUAAGCGUCCGACUUCAGCUCAGGUCACGAUCUCGCGGUCCGCGAGUUCGAGCCCCGCGUCGGGCUCUGGGCUGACGGCUCAGAGCCUGGAGCCUGCUUCCGAUUCUGUGUCUCCCUCUCUCUCUGCCCCUCCCCCGUUCAUGCUGUGUCUCUCUCUGUCUCAAAAAUAAAUAAAACGUUAAAAAAAUUAAAAAUAAAACAUUAAAAAAUUGAAAAGAAUCUGGGGCGCCUGGGUGGCUCCGUCGGUAAAGCCUCUGACUUCUGUUCGGGUCAUGAUCUCACAGUUCACGAGUUCGAGCCCGCGUCGGGCUCUGUGCGGACACCUCGGGGCCUGGAGCCUGCUUCGGAUUCUGUUUCCCUCUCUCUCUGCCCCUUCCCCACUCAUGCUGUGUGUGUCUCUCUCUCAAAAGUAAAUAAACUUUAAAAAAAGUUUUUAAAAAAUCUGUGCAGACAGACAUGGAAGGAUAUUGUAUGAAAACAGCCAACUGCGGUAGAUCACGGAUAGUAAGAUCCAUUUUUAUUCUUUAACACACACACACACACACACACACACACACACGCAUGUAUUUUCAUUGUGUAGAGAAAAAAGUCUAGGACACACACAAAAGAAGUAAUGAUAGUUAACCCCGAGGAGCAAGAUCGAGAAGGGCACAUUCAUGUUUUACUUUCUAUUUUUUUGAGAAAUGCAUUAAAGCUAUUUAUUACCAAGCUAUAGAUGACAGGUGGUAGGCAGGGAGCGGCGGGGGGAGCCGAGUGGUCCUUUGGGCUCCUUCCCUCUGUCCUCCUGGGCCUGGGCUCUGAGCACCUCCAGCAGGUGCUCCCUGGCUGAGGCCACCUUUGACUACAUGUAGAGAAGCCGCCCAUGGACUUAACAUUUCCCUUGAGGAGGAGUUCAUAGCUGUGCAAACUCCUGCCCCUGGAGCCUGCUUCGGAUUCUGUGUCUCCCUCUCUCUCUGCCUCUCCCCUGCUCACGCUCUGUCUCUCUCUCUCUCUCAAAAAUAAACAUUAAAAAAAAAACAAAAAAAAGUGUGACCUGCGAGCUGGCCACAUCAUUUCCUCUCACUAGUCGGAAAUUAGUCACCUGACUACACCUAGUUGCAAGAGAAACCAGGCAAAAUACCCAAUUAAAGUUUCUCUUACUGUAUAAUAGGGUCUCUUGACAUUGGCACUCUUGACAUCAGGAGCUGGGUAAGUCUUUGUCGAGGGGGCUGUGCUGUGUGGUGUAGGGUGUUAGCGGCAUCCCUGGCCUGCCCAGUUGAUGUCAGUGGCACCUCCUAAGUAUGACAACCAAAACUGUCUCCAGACACUGCCAGGUGUCCCUUGGAGGAUGAAAUCAGCCCUCAUUGAGAACAACUGCUAAAUAAGAGGGACAGAUAGAUAAUGCAGACAGUUAGCAACAUCUGUCAUUAGUAUUGUGUUGUUCCUCCCCAAACAGUGCUUAGCGCCAGCGAAAUAAUUUCCCUUUAAAGUCAACAAUUCCUAGGGCGCCUGGGCGGCUCCGUUGGUUGAACAUCCGACUUUCGAUUUUUGACUCAAAUUACGUUCUCACGGUCCGUGGGUUCAAGUCCUAUGUUGGGCUUCCCGCUGGCAGCGUGGAGCCUGCUUGGGAUUCUCUCUCUUCCUCUCUCUUUGCCCCUCCUCCACACACUCUUUCCUUUCUCUCUCUCUCUCUCUCUCUCUCUCUCUCUCUCUCUCUCAAAAUAAAUAAAUAAACUUGAAAAAAAAAUCAACAACUCCCUUACAGGAAAUAUAAUACUAUAAGACUAGGUGAAACUUGAUUUUGGUUGAUUCUCAGGAGGUGAAAAAUUAAUCCUUUUUUGUUUUUAUUUUUUGAAUCUAAAUUUGUAGUUUUUAUCAAAUAAUAUUUCUAUUUAUUUUUAUUUGAAUAUACAGACUUUGUUCCCUGGUGUGUCCAGUGUUAAGGAUAUUAUACCGUGCCACGUUUAUGAUGCAUGUCUCAGCAUACACUAAUAUUUUGAAAGGAUUACUCUGGCAACAUUCAUAAUGCCGUCCUAUCCUAAAUCAAAAAUCUCAUCUGCAGUUGAUGGCAUAUCUCUUUUAAGGGCAAUUAAGUGCGUAUAAUUUACCACUGCUGAAUACCUUAAGAGUACAGUAUUUUUCUAUUCGUGAGAAGUGUUUGCUUAAUAUGCUAUUCCAUUCCAAUGAGAGAAUAUUUCACUGCCAGGAAUAUAAAUAAGAUAGAGAUCAUCGGAAAGAAAUCAUGAAACACCUUUUCUUUGUUCUGCCUUUUCUCGCAUGUUUAGAGAAUCAAAUCUUCCUUCAGAUAAGUGGAUACACAGGGAUUUUUGUUAAAAGGCUGCUUAGUAAUAAGAGAAAGUUAAAUAUAAAGCAAAUCUGUCUGGGGCUUCUUCCAAGGUCGCUUAGUGCCCAGUAUGUCAAAACGACCUUGUUAUGAGCCAGUUUCACGACCUAGAAGGUCUGUACAGGCACAGCGGAGGAUAUAAUUAUUCUUACUCAGUAUCUCCAGCAUUCUUCUUUUUGAAAAUGUAGAUGGCUGCAGAAAUUUUAUCAGAAAAGUAGUUGCCAGCCAUGAAAGUAACAGAAUACCCCAAAAGUCAUUUAUGAAGCCACACUUACUGGGAUAAGGGAACCAACGGGUCUGGCUGUUGUAUGAACAGGGACUGGGUGGGGAGAAUGGUGUUAGAAGCGGGCCUAGGAGCGUAGGUGGGAAGCCAAAUGGAGAAUGGAGAAGGUCAACAUUGAAGGCAUGGAGACCCACCUAGGUUUGUGGAGAGGCACUCGGAUCUCUAGUGUGGCCAGGACAGCAAGCUGUCCCCCCCGAACUUGCGGUGCCUCUUCCAUAGCCAGACUUCCUCGUAUCUUGGUGAGGCCGUGUGAUUGAUCCUUGCUGAUGGACUGUAAGUGGGUCUUUACCUGGAGGGUCUGGACGGUGAAUGGAUGACAAUACAUUCAGAUCGGUAAUUCGAAGAGCAUUUAGGGAAGGCACUGUUGGCAAAAGUGUGGGGGAAGAGUACAAGGAGACUACAAGGGACAGCAUGGUAUCUCGAGGCCAGAACUUACCUCGUUGUCUGCCUUAGGCCUGAGUGGUUAGAGAAGGGUACAGUUUCUAGAACCCUAAAUAGGAGUUCUCUGGGGAGGCUCACAAGAAAGGAACUAUAACUUUCAGGACAUAGCAGUCUAAGUCCAACCUCCCAUUCCCUCCCCACACCCCACCAUAGGAAGGAAAGAAGGGAGUAAACAUCAUUUACAAACAUCCCAUAUUCUUCUGUGGAUGUGUCCCAUUGGCCAAAUCCAACUGGAAGACAAGGCUGGGAAGCCCUCGAAUGUAGCCGCACGGGGAGUGUGCCAGGACACAGAGUAGGGUGCGGAAGGAUUGGGGAGCAGACCUGGGGUACGCAGUCUGCUCUGGGACUCGUGGCCACGGCGGUAGGAAGUGGGUGUUCCUUCACCAUUCCUGAUUCUCCAAUCAGCCCGCUGGGUUUGUAGGACAUUGAGACCCUAGGGGAUGUCAGAGCCACAGUGAUACAGGACACCGCCCAGCAGGGGAAAGCGGAACACCGAUCAGGGACACCCACAGUGGAUUCUUCCUGAUUAAGAAAUAAAGUUGUGUUGCAGUAAGACACUAAAUUUCAGGGAUGCGUUUUUUACAGACGUUAGCGAUGGGGGAUUUUUAAAUUAUUAUUAGCAUAGUUAGAAUGAACAGGAAUUAGAUUGUGGAAAGUCCUGCAAGCCCAUCAAGAAAUUUAGAUGCAUUUCUAUAAGUAGUCCAGAAAAAACAAAACAGUGAAGGUUUUUAAUGCUGGGAGGUGGGUAGUGUUCGCUGUUGUUGUUAUAAAGCCUCAGAAGGAUGAAUCCGACAGUCAGGUGGUGGGUCUAAUGGGACACAGUGAGCAAUCAGUUGAUGCACCCAUGACCAAAACCCGUGUUGUCAGCAGGACCCGUGGUUCAGUUGAGGCCAGGAGAAGCUGAAGGGAUGGUGGGCUUUUAAUCACAGUCCAAGGUCAGAUGCCAGCCCGCCAUGAAGAACUUGAGGAGGGAGGUUGUCUAAGACCCGUUUAGUGAUCACCCCACUCAGUUAAAGAGCUUGGCUGGUCCACUUUGAGAUGCGGAGACUAGAAAAGGAAUUUGGAAAGAGUUGUGGUUGUGAGUAACUGUCAAAACGCAGAGUGUCAGGUGAGGAUCUGCCCAUCAUCUGUAGCCCAGGGCAGGGGGCUUUGGUGAGACCACUGAAGAGUAUCGUAUGUGUUCCCUGGAGCCUGGGGGAUAUGAUUGACUGUAGUACUUCCUGGGAAAUUAGAAGAACGCGAGAAUCGUGGGGUCAGCUCUGAUGGUGGCCAAGCAAAGAGAAGGCCCUUAGGGAGUGUACGAGGAGUUUCAGGAUAAAUGAUAUGUAACCAGUUGAGGGCACUGAGCCGGUGAUAAAGCUGAUGUGUGGUCAUCUCUGAGCCUGGUCGAGUGAGGACCUGGGGGACCUAUCAGCCAGAGGAGGUGUGCUCUCCCCGCUAAAGGUGAGGACAUAAGCACCAUGGGAGGAGGUAACUGCAGAUCCUAGGCGAGCACGCCACAGAGAAAGAGAGAGAGAUACCUAGCAAGCCUUUUAAGUACCUGGGAUGUCCUCCAACUCUUCAAGCAAGACCUUCCUGCCCCCUCCAACAAUCAGUCAGAAAAGAGAAGCCCCCCAUGGGGCGCCCGGGUGCCUCAAUCGGUUGAACGUCCGGCUCCGGCUCAGGUCAUGAUCUCGCGGUCUGUGGGUUCGAGCCCACAUCGGGCUCUGUGCUGACAGCUCGGAGCCUAGAGCCUGCUUCCGAUGCUUUGUCUCCCUCUCUCUCUGCCCCUCCCCAACUUGAGCCCUGUCUCCUUCCCAAAAAUGAAUAAAUGUUAAAAAAAAAAAUUUU